GAUGAACGCUAGCUACAGGCUUAACACAUGCAAGUCGAGGGGCAGCAUGUUGGUUGCUUGCAACCGAUGAUGGCGACCGGCGCACGGGUGAGUAACGCGUAUCCAACCUUCCCUUAACUUGGGAAUAGCCCGGUGAAAACCGGAUUAAUGCCCUAUGGUCUCCUUCGAGGACAUCUGAAGAGGAGUAAAGAUUGAUCGCCGAGGGAUGGGGAUGCGGCUGAUUAGGAAGCCGGCGGGGUAACGGCCCACCGGUCCUUCGAUCAGUAGGGGUUCUGAGAGGAAGGUCCCCCACACUGGUACUGAGACACGGACCAGACUCC
rnacentral:rRNA from 1 species